rnacentral:rRNA from 1 species
CUUAAAGGAAUUGACGGAAGGGCACCACCAGGAGUGGAAUCUGCGGCUUAAUUUGACUCAACGCGGGAAAACUCACCAGGUCAGGACACGGUAAGGAUUGACGGACUGAAGGCUCUUUCUCGAUUCCGUGGAAAGUGGUGCAUGGCCGUUUUUGGUUGGUGGAUCGAUCCGUCUGGUUAAUUCCGUUAACGAACGAGACCUCGGCACUCCGAAUAGCGCGGCGGACGUCGCGGCCUCCGGGCCGUCUUCCGCACGAGCUUCUUAGAGGGACCGUCCCCCGCCGGGGAAGGAGGUGCGAGGCAACGACAGGUCUGUGAUGCCCUUAGAUGUUCUGGGCCGCACGCGCAUUACACUGACGCGUCCAACGGGUGACUCCCGACCCGAAGGGGCCGGGGAAUCCGCAAGGCGCGUCGUGAUGGGGAUUGAACGUUGCAAUUGUUGUUCACGAACGAGGAAUUCCUAGUAGGCGCGGGUCAUCAACCCGCGCCGAUUACGUCCUG